CUUUAUUGCCUACCUUAAAUUUGAUUUCGUUUGUAAUAUUACAGUCGAUUUCACAAAACUUUGACCGCAAAUGUUCCAAAUUCCUUCCGAAGUUCGCAACGAACUUCGCAACGAACUUCGCAACGAAGUUUGAAACAUUUGCGGUCAAAGUUUGGUGAAAUCGACUGUAAUAUUACAAACGAAAUCAAAUUUAAGGUAGGCAAUAAAGAU